ACACAUGCAGUCGGACGGUAGCACAGAGAGCUUGCUCUUGGGUGACGAGUGGCGGACGGGUGAGUAAUGUCUGGGGAUCUGCCCGAUAGAGGGGGAUAACCACUGGAAACGGUGGCUAAUACCGCAUAACGUCGCAAGACCAAAGAGGGGGACCUUCGGGCCUCUCACUAUCGGAUGAACCCAGAUGGGAUUAGCUAGUAGGCGGGGUAAUGGCCCACCUAGGCGACGAUCCCUAGCUGGUCUGAGAGGAUGACCAGCCACACUGGAACUGAGACACGGUCCAGACUCCUACGGGAGGCAGCAGUGGGGAAUAUUGCACAAUGGGCGCAAGCCUGAUGCAGCCAUGCCGCGUGUAUGAAGAAGGCCUUCGGGUUGUAAAGUACUUUCAGCGGGGAGGAAGGCGGUGAGGUUAAUAACCUCGCCGAUUGACGUUACCCGCAGAAGAAGCACCGGCUAACUCCGUGCCAGCAGCCGCGGUAAUACGGAGGGUGCAAGCGUUAAUCGGAAUUACUGGGCGUAAAGCGCACGCAGGCGGUCUGUUAAGUCAGAUGUGAAAUCCCCGGGCUUAACCUGGGAACUGCAUUUGAAACUGGCAGGCUUGAGUCUCGUAGAGGGGGGGUAGAAUUUCCAGGUGUAGCGGUGAAUGCGUAGAGAUCUGGAGGAAUACCGGUGGCGAGGCGCCCCCUGGACGAAGACUGACGCUCAGGUGCGAAAGCGUGGGGGAGCAAACAGAUAGAUACCCUGGUAGUCCACGCCGUAACGAUGUCGACUUGGAAGGUUGUUCCUUUGAGGGAGKGCCCCGGAGCUAACCGCGUAAGUCGACCGCCUGGGAGUACGCCGCAAGGUAAACUCAAUGAUUAGACGGGGUCSUCCAAUCAGGUUGCGAACCAUGUCGUUAAUUCGAUGGCACCGGAAGAACCUUUA
rnacentral:rRNA from 1 species